ACUGCUCAGUAACACGUGGACAACCUGCCCUUUAGGUUGGGUAUAAACCCGGGAAACUGGGUAUAAUACCCGAUAGGUCUCGAUUGCUGGAAUGCAUCGAGAUUUAAAGCUCCGGCGCCUAAGGAUGGGUCUGCGGCCUAUCAGGUAGUAGUGGGUGUAGCGUACCUACUAGCCUACGACGGGUACGGGUUGUGAGAGCAAGAGCCCGGAGAUGGAUCCUGAGACACGAAUCCAGGCCCUACGGGGUGCAGCAGGCGCGAAAACUUUACAAUGCUGGCAACAGCGAUAAGGGAACCUCGAGUGCCAGGUUACAAAUCUGGCUGUCGAGAUGCCUAAAAAGCAUUUCAUAGCAAGGGCCGGGCAAGACCGGUGCCAGCCGCCGCGGUAACACCGGCGGCUCGAGUGGUAACCGUUAUUAUUGGGUCUAAAGGGUCUGUAGCCGGCCGGAUAAGUCUCUUGAGAAAUCUGGCAGCUUAACUGUCAGGCUUUCAGGAGAUACUGUCUGGCUCGAGGCCGGGAGAGGUGAGAGGUACUUCAGGGGUAGGGGUGAAAUCUUGUAAUCCUUGAAGGACCACCAGUGGCGAAGGCGUCUCACCAGAACGGACCUGACGGCAAGGGACGAAAGCUAGGGGCACGAACCGGAUUAGAUACCCGGGUAGUCCUAGCCGUAAACGAUACUCGCUAGGUGUCGGCCACGGUGCGACCGUUGUCGGUGCCGUAGGGAAGCCGUGAAGCGAGCCACCUGGGAAGUACGGCCGCAAGGCUGAAACUUAAAGGAAUUGGCGGGGGAGCAC
rnacentral:rRNA from 1 species